AUCGUGGUCGAUUGUGGUAGUUGGUGAGGUAACGGCUCACCAAGCCGAUAAUCGAUAGGGGCCGUGAGAGCGGGAGCCCCGAGAUGGGUACUGAGACAACGACCCAGGCCUUACUAGGCGCAGCAGGCGCGAGACCUCCGCAAUACACGAAAGUGUGACGGGGUUACCCAAAGUGUUCAUAAUUGAACUGUGGUAGGUGAGUAAUGUCCCCUACUACAAAGGAGAGGGCAAGGCUGGUGCCAGCCGCCGAGGUAAAACCAUCUCUUCAAGUGGUCAGGAUAAUUAUUGGGCUUAAAGUGUCCGUAGCCGGUUUAGUAAGUUCCUGGUAAAAUCGGGUAGCUUAACUAUCUGUAUGCUAGGAAUACUGCUAUAC
rnacentral:rRNA from 1 species